CAGUUGAUUUUUCUGCUAAUACACACUAGAAGCAACAUCAUGAUUUGAACAAAUCGUCGUUUGCAUUAUGAAUAAUACAUAAAAACUGUUUGGGAAAUCUUUGAGAUCGACAUUGAAAUGCUUGUUGUGGCAAAUGAUUCAUAACAAAAAUUCAUUUAACUUGGAAAUUCACAAGUGCCGGCGCUACCGCGCUUAACGAUGUGGCAUUAUGGACUUGCCGACAUACAUAUUGUGGAAUAGAUGCUCUGCAAUUCCUACAGUGAAUGAAACAAUAUCGACUUGCCGAUAUACAUAUUGUGGAACAUGUGCAUUCUUGAAAGAAAUAACAAGGGUGAUGCUCUAAAAAUCGUACAUUGAAUCAAACAAUGUGGACUUGUCGACAUGCAUAUUGGGUAAUAUGUGCAUUCCUGAAGAAAAUAACGUGACAAGCAAUCGUGGGCCCUAACUGAAGAGAACCAUUUCAAAGAAUGGAACCAAUGUAUUCUUACCGUAGGAUUUCAAAGAGGCUGCUGCUUUUAUUAAAUUAGAAAUAAUCCUCACUCGAACAAUACAAUAUACCUUUGGUGCAUUUGGUGCAAAUGGAUUGGCUUGAAUAACUAAACACGUCAAGACGAGAACUGUUGGAAGAAAACCAGGCAAAUCAGAGGAUGCAUGAUUUCAAAUCCUAGAAUUACUAGUAAAUGGCUACCUAAUCAAAGACUUUGAAUCAAAUAUAGAGAAUACCGGCAAUGCAAAACAAAGAAUAUUAGAAAAACAUCAUUAGCUAUGAAAUAUGCUGCAGCUGGCUGCAACUGCAAUUCUUGGUCAACUCUCAAAAUAAAUGGAAGGCUCUCGUGCUUCUUGAUAGUUGAAAGUGAUGACAAUACAGCCAUGGACUUCACUGUUACGGUUUAAUAGCACAAUUGCGAUGAUGCAAAUUCCUUGCAGUGAGUAAUGCCUUCCAGAUAUACAGUUCAUCCUGCGCCUCUUUUUUAACCAUUGGAAAAGGUAUUUCAUGGAAUAUAAUAUUUCAAAUGUACUAUUAAAUAAGUUUGGUUGUCUGUUAAGAAGUUUUGAGCAAGCACUGUUUAUUUUUCAAUUUAAAUAAAUGCCUAUUAUUAUUCAAUCAAUGAAGAUUAUCACAGAUAAAAUUUGAUAAACUAUUGAUUCGAAUAAUUAAAAGUAGUAAUAUGUAUUUGAAUGUAGAUAAUCCCUGUGAAUUACUGGUUUAAAUAAUUGCUAAA